rnacentral:lncRNA from 1 species
AUAGUACUAGAGCCGUUUUACGCAAUCGAAUACCGCCGGAAGUAGAACAUUUAUGUCAACACCGGUUUCGUAUUUCACGUGAAAACAGCUGAAAACUGAGAGGUUAUCAAAAAAUUAUUAAGUUACGGGUACCAUUAGGAUUUUUCAUGCAUUUAAACGACAGAAGUACAAGCCAACAAAUGACACAUUACAGUGGCUGCAGAAGCUCGAAAAGUUACUUAGAGCAGGGGCAGUCAGAACAAUGGGAUAAUGCUUCUAAUAGGUGUCCUACAUGUCUAAUCAGGUUGACAGAAGUGGAAGAUGGUCUAGUGGUACAAUGAUGUACGGAUGAAAAUCUUUAAUAAGUUUAACAUGUAGAAGGAAAUGCAAUGCCAGUUAUUAAAAUUACAUUCCCCACAACAGAUACACAGUGUAAAUUGUAAAAUGUUCUGUGGAUUCAUAUGAUGGGAAUGCCAGUGUUGAUCUGUAUGGUUUAAUUAAACACAGAUAUUGAUACCUUCAGAUAUACCUGUGAAAUCUUCAGUGUCACCAUUCAGCUAUAGUUCAAGAUCCGUGUCUGAAACUUGCACAGUUUAGUAUAAAGGAGCCUACUGGACCAAUUUUGUUACAUAUUUACUGUUAUUGUAGGACACACAUGUAGAGAGCAGCAAGUCCUGUACAGCCGUGCAUGUAAAUGUGAUUCAGAAACUCUGAGAAUUAUGUAAACAUUACACUGUUAUAAUUUUCAAAAUACUAUGUCUUGUAGUGUAUCAAUACUGUUUUGUCUCAGUUUAUAGCACAGUAUGUUCACAAAUCAAACUUAAGAUCAUAGUGAUCAGUAUUAUUAAAAUCACUGAAUAUUUAUAUGGUGACAAAAAUUAAUUUCAUGCAAUACCACAGUAAAACGUUUGAUAAUUUUUGCUUUUGAAGGUGUAAGUUUAAGGUUAGCAUAAAUUGUUUUUCUCCUUCAUAAAUCUAAAAGGUGGUUAGUCAUUAUAAUUGCAAUAUCAUUUUAGCAUGACAAAGUUUAUUUAUAUUUAACUAAAACAGCAGUGUAAAUUUUUAAACUACUCAAUGCAUUUUCUUCAGUCUUAAAACAUUUGUUUAUCAUAAGUAUCAUGGUCAAUAACUCCUCCAUAUUACUUGUGUUUUGUCCUUUUUAAUUUCACUGAAGAAUAGGUAGAGGUAUUGCACAUCCAUUUUUUAGCAUCCCGAUUUUGUCUCAGAAUUAUGUUUCAUCCAAAGGUGGGGAGACGUAUUGUUUUUGCCUUCUCCUCCAUCUUUCCGCAUUAAGCCUAUCCAGCUUUAACAGGACAAGCUGCUGGCCAGAUUUCGAUGAAACUACACAGGACUGAUCAUUACCAAGCAUGGAGUUGUACAUACCGCUUGCAUGUUCCAUUUCGCUGCACUAAAUUGCAGCCAGAGCUAAAAAAAGAAAAAACUUGUCGGCUUUCACAGGUCAAACUACUUAACAGAUUUUGAUGAAACUUCAAAGGAGUGAUCAGUACCAAACAUAUUUGUGCAUAUUGCUGACACUUUCAUUUUGGUGCACAAAAUAGCCGCCAUAGCUAAAGGUAUACAAAGAUUGGAUACAUGUUUUGUCAUAAAAACACCUAAAACACCUUCUAGUUUGCUAAUGAAAAAUGUAUCAAACUUCUUACACUUGCAAAAUGUAAUAAAUUGACAUUAAAUGCACUGGCCCCUUAACUGCAUUUGGCAUUUUUACAAAAUUAUUGCCCUUUUCUUACCAUAGAAAUAUUUGGUGUAUUAGUCUUCACGAAACAUUGCAGAACAAUUUCCUUAUGUUCCCAGUGUCAACUUUGAUAGUGACAUGUUUACUUUAGAAACACUGCAGUGAUGUAACCACUGUACUAGUCAAACGUUUCGUAUUUCAGUUUUUUAUCACAUUACAGGCUACUGGUUUUUAUCAGCCUUCAUAAAACUUUCAUAUUUCAAAAAAUAUUGUAUUUGGAUUUGAACUGGCAUUAUUCAAACAUUAUGAAGUAGUACUAUAAGGCAAUAUUUGACCUCUUGCCCAGUACUUUUUGAUUUUAUCUGUAACUAUGAAAUUGCCUUUUCCUAGAAACUGGUUGGCUGUUUUUAGGUGAACUUAUGUUUUUAAUGAAUUGUAGUUAUGAUCUCAUGAAAAUGUCUAUUUUUAAAAAAUUUAUAAUUUUUACUGUCAAAAAAGUGCAA